CCUACGGGAGGCAGCAGUGAGGAAUAUUGGUCAAUGGGCGUAAGCCUGAACCAGCCAAGUCGCGUGAGGGAUGAAGGUUCUAUGGAUCGUAAACCUCUUUUGUCAGGGAAUAAAGUGUGGGACGUGUCCUCUGUUGUAUGUACCUUAUGAAUAAGGAUCGGCUAACUCCGUGCCAGCAGCCGCGGUAAUACGGAGGAUCCGAGCGUUAUCCGGAUUUAUUGGGUUUAAAGGGUGCGUAGGCGGCCUUUUAAGUCAGCGGUGAAAGUCGGUGGCUCAACCCUAGAAUUGCCGUUGAAACUGGCAGUCUUGAGUAUGUUUGAGGUAGGCGGAAUGCGUGGUGUAGCGGUGAAAUGCUUAGAUAUCGCGCAGAACCCCGAUUGCGAAGGCAGCAUGCCAAGUCAUGACUGACGCUGAUGCACGAAAGCGUGGGGAUCAAACAGGAUUAGAUACCCCAGUAGUC
rnacentral:rRNA from 1 species